CAGGUGUGACUGAAAUGAUGACUGAAAAAUAUAGUGCAAGGUUUAUUUAGUUAGCUUUUCAUUCAGUGGCAAUACAUGAUAACUUCCCCAGGUCAUCAGGAUUUUAUAACAAAUAACAGAAGUUUGUGGUGCGUGUGAUCAUUAUGUAAUGAUACCUUUGCACUGAGCUAUGAUACUGACUGCUUCUUUAUCUGUUUAAAUUUUGCUGGAGAUCAUUUUAAAAUACUGUUCAUUACACAUGUUUUUAAGUAAGAUACGUUUACAGGACUGAAGAUGACAGUUCUGGCAUGAAGAUAGGUUGUUUUGUUAGGCAGGCAGCCAGUGCUGAACUAGAAGAGACUUUGGCAAAAACAAGUUGAAUUGUGGAAGAAAUCAAUCCAGCCUGUGGAGGAAUGUGUGUGCUGAGUAUUAUUAUAAGAAAUCUAAUGAGAGUUAGCAGAAAGCAUCUCAGCAGACAUUAUGAUUCAAGUAUUUAUGAUUGGGUUUUGUGAUGCUAUGGUAGGAAGACAUUUGCUUUUGAUUUUCUUGGAUUUAAGUGCUUGAAAAUACUAACAUACCCAUGUUUGUUAGACUUCAUUGCUGCAUUUCCCAUUACCAUAACCCCCAAAAAUAUACUUACAGGCUCUGGGAUGGUCACUGUAACACAAGAAAUUCAUCUGUAGACUUAUUUUAAAACCAGCAGUAGUGUUAUGGUUCUCUGUAAUUUACCAAAUGAAAGCAGUUAUAGGGAACAUUACCCAGUGGGAUGAAUAUUUGGAUUCUCCUUUGAGUAUGACAUUAGAAAAAAUUACAGUUUUAAAACCAUGAGUUUAUCUGACAGUGAUAUCUGGAUGUGCAGUAAUAGCACACAACUACGUUGUUAAAGGAAAGACAAAGGAAAGCUUGAGGAUGCAGUGUAAAAGUUUGUCCUACAUCAUCUGCUGUUUUUUGUCUGUCUUGAAGUGGUCACUCGAUGGAGCUUUUCAUGAAUUAAACUGGAAAGCAAAGGAAAUAUCCUAAUUUUGAGAUUGCUUUGGGUCUGAAGAACUGAGGAGGGGGGUGAAAAAUGAACACUCAUUUUAAGACAGGGCUGCAAAUUUUCCAGAAGAGCUUAUGCAGUGUUAUUUUCCUGACAGUAGGAUGCAAACACAGUGACCUGGGUAAUCCCAUGCAAUCUUAUGUGUCUAUAAAUAUAUCUUCCAGCCUUAAUCAAGUAGCAAUCCAUUGUUUUUACAUACGAUUUAAAUUCACACAUUUUACAGCUUGAUAAGGAGUACUGGAAAACAUAUUGGGACUGGAUCUAGAAGUCUGCAUAAUAAAGCUUGUGCUUCCUUUUGAUGGGUUUCUAAACAAGAUGAGAUUUGUGCAGUUGCACUAUUUGUGUUCCUCUUUUGGGUUUAAAGACGUUACCUGUUCUAUACAAAAAGUAACUCAGAAAUAGUAGUUCCUCAAACAUAUCAAGUUUCUGAAAAAUCUGUGGAAGUGUAAAGCUAGAAGGCACUGUACUGCACCAGCUGCAAAUCGUAUGUCAUUAAGAACAACAGAAUCCACUUGGGCAGAGAUUUGAGUGCCCAAUCAUGAGACAAGCUUCAGCUGCAACCCAUGAUCAACUGGGAGACAAGUCUGUAUGAAGCCCGGCUUUUGUAGCUCUGCUGUGAGAAGAAUGGAUUGAUUUGAGAGCGGUGCAUUUUGGUAUGCAUCACUUCUCCUGCCUCAGUAACCAUUUUUCUGAUCAGAAGUUCAGAAGACAGCCUGGAAUAGAACGUUUUGGCAAGGCAGGGUGUAUUUUUUCCUAGAAGUACUUGGUCAAGUUACACAUCCUCUGGAACUAUAUUCUUUCAUGCGUUCUAGCUUCAUGUUCAGACAAGAAACUAAAGCCAGCCUAACUGUGGGACAAACACUGACUAAACUGGAUCAGUGGAUUCUAACCUUGUCAGCUUCAAAGUCAUCUAUUGUGCAAGUACUCCAGGGAGGUCUGGUAAAGGAGUCUUUGCAGCUGAGCGUGUGUCCUAUUUGAUAGUGAGUCCAGCAGCUCUGCUUUCAGGCUUUCCAUGGAAUAAAUGCAAGCUUCUGAAAGACUUCACCUUGAGGGAAAGAGUGUGGAUGAGGAACAGAUCUUUCAGCUUUUAAGGAUGCCCAGACUGCUCUGUGCUCCCUGGGGAUCUUCUUGGUAGUGCUGAAUAGGAGAGGUGGUGUCCUUUCAUCGCCUUCCCCCAUCUGCAAAAGAAGCUGCAUUCCUGCAGAUGUUUCUCAUGAUGCAGAGCAGUCUGUCUCAGGAGAAAGGAAUAGGAUGAUGAAAUCUACAGCAAAAGGAGAAUUUGGAUUAGAAUUAGUUGAUCUUACUUGUGGGAUUAUGAAACCAGAUUGAUCAUCUUACUUAGCUGCCAGAUACCUGUGAAGUGGUGUUGAUUUUUCUUUUGUUAGUCUAAAAAAAAAUCAGCAGUGACGUUUUUGUUCUUAAUGAAGCAUUACUAAAUAUGUGUAUGUCUUCCAGUAAAUGCCUAGUUCAGACUUAAUUAAAAUGCUCAAUCCUGUGUAUGAACACCCUUCGUAGUCAUUUUUAAGCUGCGGUUCUUUGAUCACUUGAGUUUACUGAAGUCCUCCCCUCCGUCUCCCAUUUCUUCACAAUCCCACCCACUUCCUUGCUGGCACAAGAGUUUAACUGACCUCUUUGUGAGACCAUUCAGCUCUUUACAAGGUGGAAAAAAAAAAGUUUAAUAUCCCGAGCCACUUUAUCAAAUUGUGGAGGAGCACCUGUGUCUGCACAAUGGUGGGAGAGGCAGAGGCACAGCGUU